AAGAGAAAUUUGUUAAAUUUCAAAGAACAAAGCAAUCAAAGGUGGUGAGCCCUCUGAUAAGGGUCAAGAUAUCGUACCUGAGGACCAAGAAUAAGAGUACUCCAAACUCCCGCUAUUCUUACUGCAGUGGACGGGUUUUCGUGGACCAGCUUAUUAG